ACGGGUGAGUAACGCGUGGUCAACCUACCGUUGAGUGGGGGAGUAACUAGCCGAAAGGUUAGCUAAUACCGCAUACGUGUCCGAGGGGCAUCCCUUGGCCAUAAAAGGAGCAAUCCGCUCGAUGACGGGACCGCGUCCCAUUAGCUAGAUGGUGGGGUAACGGGCCUACCAUGGCACCGAUGGGUAGCUGGUUUGAGAGAGCGACCAGCCACACUGGGACUGAGAAACGGCCCAG
rnacentral:rRNA from 1 species